ACCACUUGACAGCCUGGGCCGGAAGAUACCCAUAUGGCUUCUCCUGCCCUUACUUCAGAACCUCUCUGUGUGGAGGAACAAGCUUGUUCCUUGAUAAAUGGAUACAAUGUGAGAGACAAUAAUCAAAGAAAAUAUAGAGGGAUUUGGAAAUACCUGUGAGAUACACACACUUCUUCGAGGUGGGGGUCAAGGAAGACAUUGAAAAUGAACCAAGCCUUCUAUGUUCAUUCGCAGCCUACUUUAGGGAGAAGAACCAACGUGAAGCAAGCAGAGAGAAUAGUAUGAGUAGAGGCAUAGGGAUUUUUUAGAAUAUUUGGCUUAUCCAGAAAAUAGUGAUUAAUUUGGCAUGAUUAAUGCUCAGUAGAGGUCAUGUAGCAGAGGGUUUAUUUAAGAAGCUAGAUAUGAAGGAAGAAAUUACCAAAACUUGUAACAUCAAAUGAAGUAUGAUGACUACCGAAACCUGAAGAAUAGCAGUUGAAAUAGAAGUCAUACUGUUUGUCUCUGUCUUCAAAAUCCUACUCAUUCUUCCAGACCCAUCUCAAAUUACAUAUCCUCCAUUAGAUUUCUUGGUUUUCCCAGCUGCGUAUGAUGCCUUCUUCCUUUGAACCCCUUUGUUUGAACACUUCAUAACCCAUAAGGACCUGUAGCCUCUCGUCAUGAUUCUGAGGCCUCCUCAGCCAUGUGGAACAACUGCAGAAGACGUGAUAAUCCACAUCCCUUCAAAUAGCAUCAUCAAGCUACAUCAUAUCUCUAUGAAGGCGGUUGUAUGUUCUACUAUGGGUUUCUUUUUGUUGGUUUAUUUGUUGUGUUUUUGUUUUUGUUUUUGCCAAGUCU